CAAAGGAGCAAUCCGCUGAAAGAUGGGCUCGCGUCCGAUUAGAUAGUUGGCGGGGUAACGGCCCACCAAGUCGACGAUCGGUAGCCGGACUGAGAGGUUGAACGGCCACAUUGGGACUGAGACACGGCCCAGACUCCUACGGGAGGCAGCAGUGAGGGAUAUUGGUCAAUGGGGGAAACCCUGAACCAGCAACGCCGCGUGAGGGAAGACGGUUUUCGGAUUGUAAACCUCUGUCCUCUGUGAAGAUAAUGACGGUAGCAGAGGAGGAAGCUCCGGCUAACUACGUGCCAGCAGCCGCGGUAAUACGUAGGGAGCAAGCGUUGUCCGGAUUUACUGGGUGUAAAGGGUGCGUAGGCGGCCUUGCAAGUCAGAAGUGAAAUCCAUGGGCUUAACCCGUGAACUGCUUUUGAAACUGUAGGGCUUGAGUGAAGUAGAGGCAGGCGGAAUUCCCGGUGUAGCGGUGAAAUGCGUAGAGAUCGGGAGGAACACCAGUGGCGAAGGCGGCCUGCUGGGCUUUAACUGACGCUGAAGCACGAAAGCGUGGGUAGCAAACAGGAUUAGAUACCCUGGUAGUCCACGCCGUAAACGAUGAUUACUAGGUGUGGGGGGUCUGACCCCCUCC
rnacentral:rRNA from 1 species